rnacentral:rRNA from 1 species
UACGUAGGGUGCGAGCGUUAAUCGGAAUUACUGGGCGUAAAGCGUGCGCAGGCGGUUUCUGAAGUCCGUUGUGAAAGCCCCGGGCUUAACCUGGGAAUGGCAGUGGAAACUAGGAGACUUGAAUCUGGCAGAGGGGGGUGGAAUGCCACGUGUAGUAGUGAAAUGCGUAGAGAUGUGGCGGAACACCGAUGGCGAAGGCAGCCCCCUGGGUCAAGAUUGACGCUCAGGCACGAAAGCGUGGGGAGCAAACAGG